ensembl:lncRNA
AGGGCCAGGAGGUGCCAUAACGAUCUGGCUCCCAUCUGAGGUGUGGCGGGCGGCCACUGGGGGGCGUUAGGCCGGGCACUGUGUGGUCUGACGUCGGCGGGCCUCCAUGUCAGCUUCAGGCCUCCAUGAGGUCACUCAGCUCCAAGGGAAGGAUGAAGUGGGAAGCCUGUCAGGAGCCCCGUGGGGAGCAGGUCUCAGGCCCCCGAACUGAUUAGAUGAACCAAAACAAUGACGAAACAACUAGAUGGUGGAGCCCCAAGACAAAACAGGCUUGAGUCCCCAGAUCACAGCUUGGAGAAGGACCCAAUUGCCUUAUGAUGUGAACAAGAAUAAACCUUCAUGCUUAAGCCAC